GCGAAUAUAGCUCAAUUGGUAGAGCAGUGUCCUUCCAAGUCAAGGGUUGCGGGUUCGAGCCCUGUUAUUCGCU
rnacentral:tRNA from 1 species